UACGAAGGGUGCAAACGUUAUUCGGAAUCACUGGGCGUAAAGGGUGCGUAGACGGUAUGUUAAGUUCGUUGUUAAAGGCUCCGGCCUAACUGGAGUACUGCGAUGAAAACUGGCGUGCUAGAGGGUGAAAGAGAGAAGUGGAAUUCCCGGAGUAGCGGUAAAAUGCGUGGAUCUCGGGAGGAACACCAAUGGCGAAGGCAGCUUCUUGGUUCAUACCUGACGUUGAGGCACGAAAGCGUGGGGAGCAAAC
rnacentral:rRNA from 1 species